CUCCUACGGGAGGCAGCAGUGAGGAAUAUUGGGCAAUGGACGCAAGUCUGACCCAGCACGCCGCGUGGAGGAUGAAGGUCCUUGGAUUGUAAACUCCUUUUGCAGGGGAAAAGUAAGGAUGGUACCCUGAGAAUAAGUCACGGCUAACUACGUGCCAGCAGCCGCGGUAAUACGUAGGUGACAAGCGUUAUCCGGAUUUAUUGGGCGUAAAGCGCACGCAGGCGGCUGAUUAAGUCUGACGUGAAAUCUCCCGGCUUAACCGGGAGCGGUCGUUGGAAACUAAUCGGCUCGAGGCGAUGAGAGGGGUGUGGAAUUCCCGGUGUAGUGGUGGAAUGCGUAGAUAUCGGGGGGACCAUCAGUGGCGAAAGCGGCACCCUGGCAUUAGCCUGACCGCUCAUGUGCGAAAGCCUGGGGAGCGACCGGGAUUAGAUACCCCGGUAGUCCACGCUGUAACCGAUGAAUACUAGGUGUGGGUAGUCUCAAAAUUAUCCGUGCCGAAGCAAACGCGAUAAGUAUUCCGCCUGGGGAGUCCGGCCGCAAGGCUAAAACUCAAAGGAAUUGCCGGGGGCCCGCCCAAGCAGCGGAGCGUGUGGUUUAAUUCGAUGCGCCACGAAGACCCUUACCUGGGUUUGCCAUAGAGGUAGUAGUGAAGCGAAAGCGGAACGACCCUUCGGGGAGCCUCUCCAGGUGCUGCAUGGCUGUCGUCAGCUCGUGUCGUGAGAUGUUGGGUUAAGUCCCGCAACGAGCGCAACCCUUGUUGCUAGUUACAUGUGUCUAGCGAUACUGCCGGUCUUAAACCGGAGGAAGGUGGGGAUGACGUCAAGUCAGCAUGGCCUUUAUAUCCAGGGCUACACACACGCUACAAUGGGCAGUACAAUGGGCAGCGAAGGGGCGACCUGGAGCGAAUCUCAUCAAAGCUGUUCGUAGUUCAGAUUGUAGGCUGCAACCCGCCUACAUGAAGCUGGAGUUGCUAGUAAACGCAGGUCAGC
rnacentral:rRNA from 1 species